rnacentral:rRNA from 1 species
GUGGGGAAUAUUGGACAAUGGGGGGAACCCUGAUCCAGCCAUGCCGCGUGUGUGAAGAAGGCCUUUUUGUUGUAAAGCACUUUAAGCGAGGAGGAGGCUACCGAGAUUAAUACUCUUGGAUAGUGGACGUUACUCGCAGAAUAAGCACCGGCUAACUCUGUGCCAGCAGCCGCGGUAAUACAGAGGGUGCAAGCGUUAAUCGGAUUUACUGGGCGUAAAGCGCGCGUAGGUGGCCAAUUAAGUCAAAUGUGAAAUCCCCGAGCUUAACUUGGGAAUUGCAUUCGAUACUGGUUGGCUAGAGUAUGGGAGAGGAUGGUAGAAUUCCAGGUGUAGCGGUGAAAUGCGUAGAGAUCUGGAGGAAUACCGAUGGCGAAGGCAGCCAUCUGGCCUAAUACUGACACUGAGGUGCGAAAGCAUGGGGAGCAAACAGGAUUAGAUACCCCUGUAGUCC